rnacentral:rRNA from 1 species
AUUGAACGCUGGCGGCAUGCUUUACACAUGCAAGUCGAACGGCAGCGCGGGCUUCGGCCUGGCGGCGAGUGGCGAACGGGUGAGUAAUGCAUCGGAACGUGCCCAGUAGUGGGGGAUAGCCCGGCGAAAGCCGGAUUAAUACCGCAUACGACCUGAGGGUGAAAGCGGGGGACCGAAAGGCCUCGCGCUAUUGGAGCGGCCGAUGUCGGGUUAGCGAGUUGGUGGGGUAAAGGCUUACCAAGGCGACGAUCCGUAGCUGGUCUGAGAGGACGACCAGCCACACUGGGACUGAGACACGGCCCAGACUCCUACGGGAGGCAGCAGUGGGGAAUUUUGGACAAUGGGGGCAACCCUGAUCCAGCCAUGCCGCGUGCGGGAAGAAGGCCUUCGGGUUGUAAACCGCUUUUGUUCGGGAAGAAAUACUCUGGGCUAAUACCCCGGGGGGAUGACGGUACCGGAAGAAUAAGCACCGGCUAACUACGUG